UACGGAGGAUGCAAGCGUUUAUCCGGAAUGAUUGGGCGUAAAGGGUCCGCAGGUGGCAGUGUAAGUCUGCUGUCAAAGAAUGAGGCUUAACCUCAUCAAGGCAGUGGAAACUACACAGCUAGAGUACGGUCGGGGGUAGAAGGAAUUCCUGGUGUAGCGGUGAAAUGCGUAGAGAUCAGGAAGAACACCGGUGGCGAAAGCGUUCUGCUAGACCUGUACUGACACUGAGGGACGAAAGCUAGGGGAGCGAAUGGG
rnacentral:rRNA from 1 species